rnacentral:rRNA from 1 species
UCUGGUAGCGAUGGCGGAGAGGUCACACCUGUUCCCAUACCGAACACAGAAGUUAAGCUCUCCAGCGCCAAAGCA